rnacentral:rRNA from 1 species
GAUAAACGCUGGCGGCGUGCCUAACACAUGCAAGUCGAACGUCCUCUCUCGCAAGAGAGAGGGAGUGGCGGACGGGUGAGUAACACAUGGGUCACCUACCCUUAAGUGAGGAAUACCGGCGAGAAAUCGCCGACAAGACCGCAUAGGCUCUCUCUUUUGCAAGAGAGAGCAAAGCUUCGCAAGAGGCGCUUGAGGAUGGGCCUGUGGCCGAUUAGCUGGNGGUAGGGUAAUGGCUUACCAAGGCGACGAUCGGUAGCUGGUCUGAGAGGACGAUCAGCCACACUGGGAUUGAGAACGG